rnacentral:rRNA from 1 species
AGCGAACGCUGGCGGCAGGCCUAACACAUGCAAGUCGAACGAACCUUUCGGGGUUAGUGGCGGCCGGGUGAGUAACACGUGGGAACGUGCCUUUAGGUUCGGAAUAACUCAGGGAAACUUGUGCUAAUACCGAAUGUGCCCUUCGGGGGAAAGAUUAAUCGCCUUUAGAGCGGCCCGCGUCUGAUUAGCUAGUUGUUUGAGGUAAUGGCUCACCAAGGCGACGAUCAGUAGCUGGUCUGAGAGGAUGAUCAGCCACAUUGGGACUGAGACACGGCCCAAACUCCUACGGGAGGCAGCAGUGGGGAAUCGUGCGCAAUGGGCGAAAGCCUGACGCAGCCAUGCCGCGUGAAUGAUGAAGGUCUUAGGAUUGUAAAAUUCUUUCACCGGGGACGAUAAUGACGGUACCCGGAGAAGAAGCCACGGCUAACUUCGUG